CAAGGCUUGACAUAUACGAGAACGGGCCAGAAAUGGUCAACUCUUUGGACACUCGUAUACAGGUGGUGCAUGGUUGUCGUCAGCUCGUGUCGUGAGAUGUUCGGUUAAGUCCGGCAACGAGCGCAACCCUCGUCCUAUGUUGCCAGCACGUUAUGGUGGGAACUCAUGGGAUACUGCCGUGGUCAACACGGAGGAAGGUGGGGAUGACGUCAAAUCAUCAUGCCCCUUAUGUCCUGGGCUACACACGUGCUACAAUGGUGGUGGCAGUGGGCAGCGAGCACGCGAGUGUGAGCUAAUCUCCAAAAGCCAUCUCAGUUCGGAUUGCACUCUGCAACUCGAGUGCAUGAAGUUGGAAUCGCUAGUAAUCGCGGAUCAGCACGCCGCGGUGAAUACGUUCCC
rnacentral:rRNA from 1 species